AGACCGAGGUACCCUCGGAGAGAAGCAGGAGUGACUGCACCUCGCCCCCCUCCCCCCCCAGGACUGCUUCCCUGGGUGGACAGACUCGGAUGCUUACUUUUUGAAAAAAGUGAAACGAUUUGGAGGGCUUGAUGCUUUGAGUUCUGCAGAUGUGAGGAGAAAGCAGUCUCCUGAUGCUCCAGUCUGGAGAAAGCACAGCGUGACUGCCCAUUGGUGUGUGUGGUUUCCAGGUGAUCUGCAGCACUCUCGUUUGGCUUUGUCACCUGCCAUCCUAACUUGGAUGCAAACUGUGGAGCUGGGUCCUGUUCACCUAAGCUCUGCAGAGAUACGGAGAGAAUUUCAGGUCCCUGGCACUGAUCCUGUUGUGAUUUGCUGUAACGUUUCAGUUCUUGCAGUUUGGUCAAGUGAUCUCAGGUCCUCUCUCAGUUUCUUUGCCUGCUACCGUAGCCUUCGUGCCACCCUCCCUUGGUGGUCAGCCCAGGGCUUCCUCAGCCCAUGCAGUACCUGGCCACCACAGCUGAGGGCCUCAAUGGCUCCCUCUUUGGGGCCUACCCUUUCCCUCCCUUCAAGUUCCAGCCGCGCUCUGAGAGUGUGGACUGGAGGCGCAUCAGUGCACUGGAUAUGGACCGUGUGGUGCGAGAGCUGGAUGUGGCCACCCUGCAGGAGAACAUCAUUCAUGUUACCUUCUGCAGUUUGGACCAGGAGGUGUGCCACCGCUGCAGGCAGCCUUUGGACCCGGCAGUGCUCAAGUUGCUGCACUUGGCCCAGCUCACCAUUCAGUACCUGCUGCACUGCCAGAAUUGCUUGAGUACCAGCAUCACUCAGCUGGAGGCCCGGCUGCAGGCUAGCCUUAGCCAGCAAGAGAAGGGCCGGCAGGAGCUGGAGCGCCAGACCCAGGAGUUCAAGGGCGUGAAAGAGGAGAGCCGCCAGCGCCGCAAGAUGAUCCGCACCCUGCAGCAGCUGCUCCUACAGACUGGGGUCCACAACUAUCACCCGUGCCACCUGUGUGACAAGGCAUUCAUGAAUGUCACCUUUCUCCAGGGCCACAUGCAGCGCAGGCAUUUGAACAUGGCAGAAGGUGUGAAGCAGAAGAAGCCAGAGUGGCUGUUGGGGGAGGACGUGUUGGAAGAGCUGCGGGCCAAGCUAAAAUGGACUCAAGAGGAGCUGGAAGCCCAGAGGGAGGCAGAGAAGCGCCGACAGCUGCAGGAAGCAGAGGUCAGCCAUCAGAAGGAAAUAGAAACUAAGAAAAAAUUUGAUGAAUGGAAAGAAAAGGAGCGGGCCAGCCUAUAUGAAGAAAUAGACAAGUUUAAAAAAUCAUUAUGGGAUGAAUUUAAAAGUGUUGCCAACCAUAACUCUAUGCUAGAAGAGAAACUGAAGAUGCUGCAGUCCCAGUCCCACAGUAUGAUGGAGUCUAGUAUCAUUUUUCGGCUGGAUGAAUCUGGGGAGCAUUUCAAGCAGAAUCAGGAGAUUCGGGCCCUAAAGGAAAAAAUGGACAUUGAGGAGAAACUCAGGCAGACUCAGGAGUUCGAGGUACUGAAGGAGAAGACAGACAUUCAGAAACUGAAGAUGCUGCAGUCCCAGUCCCACAGUAUGAUGGAGUCUAAUCUCAGGUUGCUUCUGGAUAAGUCUCAGUUGCAAGUCAAGCAGAGUCAGGAGCUCCAGGCCCUGAAGGAGAAGAUGGACAUUCAGCUGCAGGAGCAGAAGGAAAAGCUCCAGGCCUACAUGUUUGAGGAUCAGCAGAAAGCAGCUGCCCAGUCCCAGCAGCAAAUCAGUGCUCUCCAGGCCCAGCUUCAGAAAUAUGCUAGUAGCAUUGCCUCCCAGAAGCAGAUGAUUCGGACCAUGUCUCUCAGGAAGGAGGAGGGGACCUGUAAGGGCCCAAAGGCUGUGGAACCAGAAGACUCUUCCAGUGAGGAGAUAGUAACUUCUGCUCUUAGGAAAAAAGCAAAAAAGCAAGGAAGCAAGCAAAAGGGUGUAUGUGAUCUGAAGAACUCCCGAGGUGGCCAGCAGAAGGUGCUGGCAUCUCUGAGGCCAGACCCCACCCUGCUGAAGUUCAGGUCAAUGCUGGAGAAAACCCUGGAAAAGAAGCUGGAAAGCAUGGGGAUAACGAAAAAUAAAAAGGGAAUCUCCCUUAAAACUCUCCAGCACCUCGAGCCCUUCCUGAGAUUCCAGCGGGUGCAGAUGACACAGAAAUUUUCUGAAUUUCUGAGUCUGAGGGUAAAGUUUGACAAAGAAGUCACGAGCAGAGCGAAGAAGAGACAGAAAAAAGACAGGACCCUGAGAUUCCAGCUGGACACCAAGGCUCCAGUAGAAAGGCAGCGGGGCCCAAAGGCCAUCAAAGAGGCCCAGCCAAAGCCCAAGACCCUUCCUGUGUCAUUGCCAUCCAUGCGGGCAGAGGUACCCAUGGAAACUCGUCAGAGCCUCGAAGGCCAUGGCCCUGGCCUGGCUCAGGUACCUGCCCCUAUUCUACAUCAGAGCGCACACGGACCCUUCGGCUCCCCUGCGUCCCUGAGGCCUGGGCUAAGUACGCUCCGAUUCAAUUUGGAAGAGGACUCAAAAGGAAAUUCUGAGCAGCGGACAUUUCUCCAGCCCCUACAAGAUCCUUUCAGGAAGAGGCCCCAGGCACGGGUUGGCUGGGAAUGCUCUGACAUUAAGACUUUGGAGGAGAGUCCCCAAUCCCCUGACCAGAGCUCAGUAAAAAGGCAGCGGGGCCGAAAGGCCAUCAAAGAGGCCCAGCCAAAGCCCAAGACCCUUCCUGUGUCAUUGCCAUCCAUGCGGGCAGAGGUACCCAUGGAAACUCGUCAGAGCCUCGAAGGCCAUGGCCCUGGCCUGGCUCAGGUACCUGCCCCUAUUCUACAUCAGAGCGCACACGGACCCUUCGGCUCCCCUGCGUCCCUGAGGCCUGGGCUAAGUACGCUCCGAUUCAAUUUGGAAGAGGACUCAAAAGGAAAUUCUGAGCAGCGGACAUUUCUCCAGCCCCUACAAGAUCCUUUCAGGAAGAGGCCCCAGGCACGGGUUGGCUGGGAAUGCUCUGACAUUAAGACUUUGGAGGAGAGUCCCCAAUCCCCUGACCAGAGCUCAGUAGAAAGGCAGCGGGGCCGAAAGGCCAUCAAAGAGGCCCAGCCAAAGCCCAAGACCCUUCCUGUGUCAUUGCCAUCCAUGCGGGCAGAGGUACCCAUGGAAACUCGUCAGAGCCUCGAAGGCCAUGGCCCUGGCCUGGCUCAGGUACCUGCCCCUAUUCUACAUCAGAGCGCACACGGACCCUUCGGCUCCCCUGCGUCCCUGAGGCCUGGGCUAAGUACGCCCCCAUUCAGUUUGGAAGAGGACUCAAAAGGAAAUUCUGAGCAGCGGACAUUUCUCCAGCCCCUACAAGAUCCUUUCAGGAAGAGGCCCCAGGCACGGGUUGGCUGGGAAUGCUCUGACAUUAAGACUUUGGAGGAGAGUCCCCAAUCCCCUGACCAGAGCUCAGUAGAAAGGCAGCGGGGCCGAAAGGCCAUCAAAGAGGCCCAGCCAAAGCCCAAGACCCUUCCUGUGUCAUUGCCAUCCAUGCGGGCAGAGGUACCCAUGGAAACUCGUCAGAGCCUCGAAGGCCAUGGCCCUGGCCUGGCUCAGGUACCUGCCCCUAUUCUACAUCAGAGCGCACACGGACCCUUCGGCUCCCCUGCGUCCCUGAGGCCUGGGCUAAGUACGCCCCCAUUCAGUUUGGAAGAGGACUCAGAAGGAAAUUCUGAGCAGCGGACAUUUGUCCAGCCCCUACAAGAUCCUUUCAGGAAGAGGCCCCAGGUACGGGUUGGCUGGGAAUGCACUGAGAUUGAGACUUUGGAGGAGAGUCCCCAACACCCUGACCAGAGCUCAGUAGAAAGGCAGCGGGGCCGAAAGGCCAUCAAAGAGGCCCAGCCAAAGCCCAAGACCCUUCCUGUGUCAUUGCCAUCCAUGCGGGCAGAGGUACCCAUGGAAACUCGUCAGAGCCUCGAAGGCCAUGGCCCUGGCCUGGCUCAGGUACCUGCCCCUAUUCUACAUCAGAGCGCACACGGACCCUUCGGCUCCCCUGCGUCCCUGAGGCCUGGGCUAAGUACGCCCCCAUUCAGUUUGGAAGAGGACUCAGAAGGAAAUUCUGAGCAGCGGACAUUUGUCCAGCCCCUACAAGAUCCUUUCAGGAAGAGGCCCCAGGUACGGGUUGGCUGGGAAUGCACUGAGAUUGAGACUUUGGAGGAGAGUCCCCAACACCCUGACCAGAGCUCAGUAGAAAGGCAGCGGGGCCCAAAGGCCAUCAAAGAGGCCCAGCCAAAGCCCAAGACCCUUCCUGUGUCAUUGCCAUCCAUGCGGGCAGAGGUACCCAUGGAAACUCGUCAGAGCCUCGAAGGCCAUGGCCCUGGCCUGGCUCAGGUACCUGCCCCUAUUCUACAUCAGAGCGCACACGGACCCUUCGGCUCCCCUGCGUCCCUGAGGCCUGGGCUAAGUACGCCCCCAUUCAGUUUGGAAGAGGACUCAGAAGGAAAUUCUGAGCAGCGGACAUUUCUCCAGCCCCUACAAGAUCCUUUCAGGAAGAGGCCCCAGGUACGGGUUGGCUGGGAAUGCACUGAGAUUGAGACUUUGGAGGAGAGUCCCCAACACCCUGACCAGAGCUCAGUAGAAAGGCAGCGGGGCCGAAAGGCCAUCAAAGAGGCCCAGCCAAAGCCCAAGACCCUUCCUGUGUCAUUGCCAUCCAUGCGGGCAGAGGUACCCAUGGAAACUCGUCAGAGCCUCGAAGGCCAUGGCCCUGGCCUGGCUCAGGUACCUGCCCCUAUUCUACAUCAGAGCGCACACGGACCCUUCGGCUCCCCUGCGUCCCUGAGGCCUGGGCUAAGUACGCCCCCAUUCAGUUUGGAAGAGGACUCAGAAGGAAAUUCUGAGCAGCGGACAUUUCUCCAGCCCCUACAAGAUCCUUUCAGGAAGAGGCCCCAGGUACGGGUUGGCUGGGAAUGCACUGAGAUUGAGACUUUGGAGGAGAGUCCCCAACACCCUGACCAGAGCUCAGUAGAAAGGCAGCGGGGCCCAAAGGCCAUCAAAGAGGCCCAGCCAAAGCCCAAGACCCUUCCUGUGUCAUUGCCAUCCAUGCGGGCAGAGGUACCCAUGGAAACUCGUCAGAGCCUCGAAGGCCAUGGCCCUGGCCUGGCUCAGGUACCUGCCCCUAUUCUACAUCAGAGCGCACACGGACCCUUCGGCUCCCCUGCGUCCCUGAGGCCUGGGCUAAGUACGCCCCCAUUCAGUUUGGAAGAGGACUCAGAAGGAAAUUCUGAGCAGCGGACAUUUCUCCAGCCCCUACAAGAUCCUUUCAGGAAGAGGCCCCAGGUACGGGUUGGCUGGGAAUGCACUGAGAUUGAGACUUUGGAGGAGAGUCCCCAACACCCUGACCAGAGCUCAGUAGAAAGGCAGCGGGGCCCAAAGGCCAUCAAAGAGGCCCAGCCAAAGCCCAAGACCCUUCCUGUGUCAUUGCCAUCCAUGCGGGCAGAGGUACCCAUGGAAACUCGUCAGAGCCUCGAAGGCCAUGGCCCUGGCCUGGCUCAGGUACCUGCCCCUAUUCUACAUCAGAGCGCACACGGACCCUUCGGCUCCCCUGCGUCCCUGAGGCCUGGGCUAAGUACGCCCCCAUUCAGUUUGGAAGAGGACUCAGAAGGAAAUUCUGAGCAGCGGACAUUUGUCCAGCCCCUACAAGAUCCUUUCAGGAAGAGGCCCCAGGUACGGGUUGGCUGGGAAUGCACUGAGAUUGAGACUUUGGAGGAGAGUCCCCAACACCCUGACCAGAGCUCAGUAGAAAGGCAGCGGGGCCCAAAGGCCAUCAAAGAGGCCCAGCCAAAGCCCAAGACCCUUCCUGUGUCAUUGCCAUCCAUGCGGGCAGAGGUACCCAUGGAAACUCGUCAGAGCCUCGAAGGCCAUGGCCCUGGCCUGGCUCAGGUACCUGCCCCUAUUCUACAUCAGAGCGCACACGGACCCUUCGGCUCCCCUGCGUCCCUGAGGCCUGGGCUAAGUACGCCCCCAUUCAGUUUGGAAGAGGACUCAAAAGGAAAUUCUGAGCAGCGGACAUUUCUCCAGCCCCUACAAGAUCCUUUCAGGAAGAGGCCCCAGGCACGGGUUGGCUGGGAAUGCACUGAGAUUGAGACUUUGGAGGAGAGUCCCCAACACCCUGACCAGAGCUCAGGUCUCCUGCCUUGGAUAAGCUCUUUCAAAUCUGGAGAGAUCCUCUAAUUCCUGAUUUCAUAGAGGAGGAAAUGGAUGCUCUUAGUGACCUGAACAUACCAGGGUCCCACAGCAAGGAUCGGAUUCUAAAAUCCAUGCCCUAGGAUCAUACCCUGGGAUCCCUACCCUAGGAUCACACCCUGGUUCCACAUAUUGAGAUCACAUCUUGGGACAUUAUGAAGUUGGACCCUCUCCAAAAGCUCCCUGAAAGAACAAAAGAAGUUUUGAAGCAUGUCAAAUCUACGCAUGGUUAAAAUCUUUAGCACGAAGCAAGAAGACAAGAAUAAUCCUAAAAACAACAAUAGUACUAAGAUUCUGAAGUGAAAUUCACUAGGUGGAGUGCUGUUGCUUUUCAAGAAAUAGCAAUAGUUGAGGAUUGUUAAGUGCUCUGAAGCAUAAGGGACAAUAAAUGUGAUGAGAAUGGCUCUUGGGUUUGGUGAAUUGUUCAAUAAGGACUGGAUUGGCUGAAGACAGUGCACUUUUACAAGUAUAUCCUUGCUUAAGAGGAGAUAAAAAAUAAAUACAAGAUUUUUGAAUGUAUAACACAGGGUGUUGAUAGAAGCAUAUCCUCACUGUGAUGCAGGGAAUGGUUGUCUGAGUUCCAUCUCAGAGGGAUUCAGGAGAGUAAGUGUGUGGCAUAUGUGCUGCCAUUCCCCAGCCAGUUCUAUGACAGACAUUGCCCAUUGAUCGUGGCAUUCUCUCAAGCCUGAGUCCUUCUAACCACAGUUAAUUGGAAUCAGUCUGAGUUGGCACUUAAGAUCCAACCAUUUGUUGUCCCUGGCUCUAAACAAGAAGAUUCAAUGCUAGCUUAGCUCCCAAGUUUUAAAGACCACUCUUCCUUCUGGGCAAACUAGUUCCAUCUCCUGAUACAGCCAGGUCAUGGUACUAAAGCUACUAGUACCUCUCAAAGUAUGUCAUGGAGAUUUUAGUGAAGUAGUUGUCAAUAUUUUGCUUCUUUUUGUAGUGCACUUACCCUAGAAUUCAGAUACUACUCUGUGCACAGUAGGUUAGAAGACAACUAGAAUGGAGCCAUCAUAUUGCACCCAGAAUCAACCCUACUCACCCUUGAAGUAAACUUGUUCUUUCCCACUUUUCUUCCCUUGAGAUGGGAUGUGCUAGGACAUGCUUUGGUUUUCACUCUCCUCAUGUUCACCAAACCCAUGGGGCACAGUGGAUAUUUCUGCAGAAGUUGUAUCCACCCAUGGUCUCUGAUGAAAGCUUGGCUUGGGUGUCCAUGUUUGUUUUGAUUAGGAUGCAUUGGCUUUAAGUAAUAGUAAAUCCCAACUGAAAUUAGGUUAAGCAAUAAAGAAGGUAAUUAUCAGACAUUACAAAGAGUUUAGGGAUGAGAUGUCUGCAGGUGAGGAACAUAAGUUAGCACUGUCGAAGAACAGACAUUCAACUGCGUAAAUCUGAAGAUCUAAUAGGCUUUAUUCAACCAUUGUUAGUGAGCUUAUGUUUAGUGACAGAAAUUUUUGUGUGGGAAGCUCGCAUAUGUCCUGGAAUGUGGGUGCAUAUGUAUGGAGUAUUUCAUUUUUUUUCAGACAAUUUUUUUCUUUUUCUCUUUGACAAUUAAAACAAUAUUUUGCUACAUGAUUCAUAAAUGUAUUUUAACAGUAUAUUUUCUUUAUGUCGGUGUAAAAUAGACAUUAAAUACAUAUUUAUUCAGUGAGUGAGAUUCAAGUGAACCUUGAAAAUCUAUUAUGUGCACGAAACUCACUUUGGAAGACAAUAAAUUAAAUGCCAAUCCUCAGGUUCAGAUAAAGGGGAGCUACCUUCCUAUUUGGAAAGAGGAUGUUAAAGCUUUGUUCCUCUGUGGAGGAGUCUCAUGUUCAGUUUCUUUUUAGAGUUUCCAUUCCAUGGCAACAUGAAUCAGAGCAGGGGACUGGAGGACAGUCAGCUGUAGGGCUCACGGUAGUAUCUUUACUCCUUGUCUGUCCUGCCCUCUUCUGCAAGCCACGCUCCUCAGCAGCUCUCUGAAGCUAAACUUUCCAUUACAGGAGCCCAGCAAUUUCCUUGAAGGGACUGGGGACUGUUGCUUCAGAAAGGCUUUUCUUCCACAACCAGAAGGGAAAUAUACUUAAAGGGAGGGGAGAGUUGAACCAUUUGCCAUUAAUGAUGAUGACUAAUUGAUACUCUGUAAUCCUUUUGUGAAAUAGUUUCUAGGUGAUUAAAAGCAGAGUGAAAUUAGUUUCAUUUCUUUUAAAAUCUUAUCUCCCUGCAGCUUUCAUAUAUACAUAUGAUUCUCCCUAUUACCCUAGGGUGGAGAAGUUAUUUUAGCAGGUGUUUUCAGUCAA